GAGGGUACAGCUCAGUGGUAGAGCGGGUGCUUAGCAUGCACAAGGUCCUAGGUUCAAUCCCCACUGCUUCCA
rnacentral:tRNA from 1 species